GCCUUCGUGGUGAAGUGGUCAGCACGCUCGACGAGUAUUCGAGUGGUCGCUGGUUCGAGUCCCGGCGAAGGCA